UACGGAGGGUGCGAGCGUUGUCCGGAUUUACUGGGCGUAAAGCGCGCGCAGGCGGUCGAUCAAGUCGCGUGUGAAAGCCCCCGGCUCAACUGGGGAGGGUCACGCGAUACUGAUCGACUCGAAGGCAGGAGAGGGUAGUGGAGUUCCCGGUGUAGUGGUGAAAUGCGUAGAUAUCGGGAGGAACACCAGUGGCGAAGGCGACUACCUGGCCUGUUCUUGACGCUGAGGCGCGAAAGCUAGGGGAGCAAACGGG
rnacentral:rRNA from 1 species